GAGUAACACGUGAGUAACCUGCCCCUGACUCUGGGAUAAGCCCGGGAAACUGGGUCUAAUACCGGAUAUGACUACUGGCCGCAUGGCCUGGUGGUGGAAAGAAUUUCGGUUGGGGAUGGACUCGCGGCCUAUCAGCUUGUUGGUGAGGUAGUGGCUCACCAAGGCGACGACGGGUAGCCGGCCUGAGAGGGUGACCGGCCACACUGGGACUGAGACACGGCCCAGACUCCUACGGGAGGCAGCAGUGGGGAAUAUUGCACAAUGGGCGCAAGCCUGAUGCAGCGACGCCGCGUGAGGGAUGACGGCCUUCGGGUUGUAAACCUCUUUCAGUAGGGAAGAAGCGAAAGUGACGGUACCUGCAGAAGAAGCGCCGGCUAACUACGUGCCAGCAGCCGCGGUAAUACGUAGGGCGCAAGCGUUAUCCGGAUUUAUUGGGCGUAAAGAGCUCGUAGGCGGUUUGUCGCGUCUGCCGUGAAAGUCCGGGGCUUAACCCCGGAUCUGCGGUGGGUACGGGCAGACUAGAGUGAUGUAGGGGAGACUGGAAUUCCUGGUGUAGCGGUGAAAUGCGCAGAUAUCAGGAGGAACACCGAUGGCGAAGGCAGGUCUCUGGGCAUUAACUGACGCUGAGGAGCGAAAGCAUGGGGAGCGAACAGGAUUAGAUACCCUGGUAGUCCAUGCCGUAAACGUUGGGCACUAGGUGUGGGGGAAACAUUCCCACGUUUUCCGCGCCGUAACUAACGCAUUAAGUGCCCCGCCUGGGGAAGUACGGCCGCAAGGCUAAAACUCCAAAGGAAAU
rnacentral:rRNA from 1 species